rnacentral:rRNA from 1 species
GCCCAGCCGUAAACUUUAAUUUACUCCGACAUCGCCCGGGAACUACGAGCAAAGCUUAAAACCCAAAGGACUUGACGGUACCCCAUAUCCCCCUAGAGGAGCCUGUCCUAUAAUCGAUAACCCCCGUUUAACCUCACCAUUUUUAGUUAAUCAGCCUGUAUACCUCCGUCGUCAGCUUACCACGUGAGCGAUAUUUAGUGAGCUUAAUGCCCCUACGCCAACACGUCAGGUCAAGGUGCAGCAAAUGAAAUGGGAAGAGAUGGGCUACACUUUCUAAUUUAGAAAAUACGAAAGACUACCUAUGAAAUCUAGUCAGAAGGCGGAUUUAGCAGUAAAAAGAAACUAGAGAGUUCUUUUUAACCCGGCACUGGGGUGUGUACACACCGCCCGUCACCCUCUUCAAAGCUUUAAAAAAGUAUUUAACCAAAUAUAGCACUAUAGAAGAGGCAAGUCGUAACAUGGUAAGUAUACCGGAAGGUGUGCUUGGAAA